rnacentral:rRNA from 1 species
ACACUCCUACGGGAGGCAGCAGUGGGGAAUUUUGGACAAUGGGCGAAAGCCUGAUCCAGCAAUGCCGCGUGAGUGAAGAAGGCCUUCGGGUUGUAAAGCUCUUUUGUCAGGGAAGAAACGGUGAAAGCUAAUAUCUUUUGCUAAUGACGGUACCUGAAGAAUAAGCACCGGCUAACUACGUGCCAGCAGCCGCGGUAAUACGUAGGGUGCAAGCGUUAAUCGGAAUUACUGGGCGUAAGCGUGCGCAGGCGGUUUUGUAAGUCUGAUGUGAAAUCCCCGGGCUCAACCUGGGAAUUGCAUUGGAGACUGCAAGGCUAGAAUCUGGCAGAGGGGGGUAGAAUUCCACGUGUAGCAGUGAAAUGCGUAGAUAUGUGGAGGAACACCGAUGGCGAAGGCAGCCCCCUGGGUCAAGAUUGACGCUCAUGCACGAAAGCGUGGGGAGCAAACAGGAUUAGAUACCCGUGUAGUCCCAUGA